rnacentral:tRNA from 1 species
GAGGGUAUAGCCCAGUGGUAAAGCUCAUCCCUAGCAUUCAUGAGGUCCUGGGUUCAAUCUCCAGUACCUCCA